UACGUAGGGUGCAAGCGUUGUCCGGAAUUAUUGGGCGUAAAGAGCUCGUAGGCGGUCUGUCACGUCGGCUGUGAAAACUCGGGGCUCAACCCCGAGCCUGCAGUCGAUACGGGCAGACUAGAGGUAGGUAGGGGAGAAUGGAAUUCCCGGUGUAGCGGUGAAAUGCGCAGAUAUCGGGAGGAACACCGGUGGCGAAGGCGGUUCUCUAGUACGGUACUGACGCUGAGACGCGAAAGCGUGGGAGCGAACAGG
rnacentral:rRNA from 1 species